UACGAAGGGUGCAAGCGUUAAUCGGAAUUACUGGGCGUAAAGCGUGCGUAGGCGGUGAGUUAAGUCUGUCGUGAAAUCCCCGGGCUCAACCUGGGAAUGGCGAUGGAUACUGGCUCGCUAGAGUGUGAUAGAGGAUGGUGGAAUUCCCGGUGUAGCGGUGAAAUGCGUAGAGAUCGGGAGGAACAUCAGUGGCGAAGGCGGCCAUCUGGAUCAACACUGACGCUGAGGCACGAAAGCGUGGGGGAGCAAACAGG
rnacentral:rRNA from 1 species